CAAUACUCGCCGGAAGCGGAAGCCGCGCCGAGGCUCGUGUAAAAGUCUUGCAGUGAAAAACCCGAGGACCCUUACCGCAAGUGUCCUUUGCUCCCAGCUACUGAUACUGGAUUCCACUUGUGAUUCUCCCUUUCUUAGCGCAUUCAUGAUAUAGACAUCAGUCUCUGAGCUGGAGGAGGACAAAGGCAGCAGUCCUGUGAAUUCUAUGCUCUAGCUUGGGUUAAGGGAUUUGGAAUUGCACUUGUUCCAGAGAGCUCCCUCUUUGCCCACUAGCAGGGCAUUAGCUGGUGCUGAAGACAGUGGCUGCUUGGCGAGCCUGGAUCUCCAAGUGACUCCAAGUGACCCCCUCAGCAACUCCUGAUGAACAGGACUGAAGCCAAUAUUAAAGCAAGUCAACCAAAGAUUCUCUGGUGUAGACAAGACAGCAAAAGGACAGACUACCUUGUGGAACCUAGCAUUGUUCUCCUUCUGCAGCACUAAGUAACAUUUGUGCUCCGUUAAGAUCUUUGCAAACCACACACAAGAAUUGCUGGUCAUCCUGCCAAUAGAUGCUGCUCACAGAACCAAAUUUCCUGUGCUGAAUUGUCACUCAUGGGCUUGAGAGUAGGAGACUGGAGACCAAGGUGGCUAGAAUCCAGUUGGGCCUGAUGUCUCCCUGUUGAAAGGGCUCCUUGUGGAAUAAACAGCACAUGGCUCCCGUGGUGGAUCUGAUAGUGGCACAGCACCAAGUGAUGCAGGCCUGCCAGGGGCCACAGACACAGAAGAUGCUCCCAGGGUCCCCCGUGUACUCCAGACACACUGCAGGCCACCUCUCCCAGCAGGUUGCCAGUCAUGGGCCCCAUCAUCAUGACUUCUGUCCAAGGUGUGCUCGGAAAUCUCUUCCUUAACUGUGACUUUCUGACAGGUGGAGGAUGUGGUCAGGAGUG
rnacentral:antisense_RNA from 1 species